rnacentral:rRNA from 1 species
AAUGAACGCUGGCGGCGUGCCUAACACAUGCAAGUCGAACGAGAAAGCCCGCAAGGGUAAGUACAGUGGCGCACGGGUGAGUAAUACAUAGGAAUCUGCCCCUGAGUGAAGAAUACCCUGAAGAAAUUCAGGUUAAUACUGCAUAAGCUCAGAGAUGAGGAAAGGUGGCCUCAAGCUACCGCUGAGGGAUGAGCCUAUGGCCUAUUAGUUAGUUGGUGAGGUAAAAGCUCACCAAGACAGAGAUGGGUAGCCGGCCUGAGAGGGUGUACGGCCACACUGGAACUGAGACACGGCCCAGACUCCUACGGGAGGCAGCAGUGGGGAAUAUUGGACACUGGGGGAAACCCUGAUCCAGCAAUGCCGCGUGAGUGAUGAAGGCCUUAGGGUUGUAAAGCUCUUUCGCACGCGACGAUGAUGACGGUAGCGUGAGAAGAAGCCCCGGCUAACUCCGUGCCAGCAGCCGCCGUAAAAC